AAAGAGGGGGCGAGGGGGGGGGGGCACCAUAGGAGGGAUGUAUGAUAGUGAGAGCAGCUGAGACAGAAGCAGAGUGAACCAGAGGCGCUUCGGCAGCGAAGGAGCAGCUCUGCUCCCGGCUCUCCAUCCCAGAGCUGAAGAAGACCGGGAGAAGCCAACAGCCCUGCCUCACCGGUGCGUCCCGGCAUCCUCGGGGAGGUCACGAUGUCCCACAAAGACAUUUUGACGUGACUGAUCUGCGUGGGCGCCAGAGCUCCGACAUGAACAGGUCUUUUGGACGAGUUCCACUAAACCUGACGUGUGGAUGAAGGUCAACCCCAGAAUUACCUGAAAGGGUUUGUUUGGGCGAAGGUCAAGUUCAUUGGGAUCAAAGGACCCUCUGGGAUGCGAUACGACACCGAGACCCGCGACACCAGGAGGCCGCCGUCUAUGUUUACCUGACACACAACAACACACAUGCAAUCACAUAAGUGUACAAAAAUACAUCACAUUUCCUCCUAU